rnacentral:rRNA from 1 species
UGAGGAAUAUUGGUCAAUGGGCGGGAGCCUGAACCAGCCAAGCCGCGUGAGGGAAGAAGGCCCUAUGGGUCGUAAACCCUUUUGUCAGGGAACAAAAGCGAGUAUGUAUACUAGUCUGAGUGUACCUGAAGAAAAAGCAUCGGCUAACUCCGUGCCAGCAGCCGCGGUAAUACGGAGGAUGCGAGCGUUAUCCGGAUUUAUUGGGUUUAAAGGGUGCGUAGGCGGCGAUGCAAGUCAGCGGUAAAAGCCCGGGGCUCAACCCCGGCGAGCCGUUGAAACUGCAGUGCUAGAGAAGGCGAGAGGUACGCGGAAUGCGCAGUGUAGCGGUGAAAUGCUUAGAUAUUGCGCAGAACUCCGAUUGCGAAGGCAGCGUACUGGCGCCUGACUGACGCUGAGGCACGAAAGCGUGGGGAUCGAACAGGAUUAGAUACC